GUCGGGAUAGCUCAGCUGGUAGAGCAGAGGACUGAAAAUCCUCGUUU
rnacentral:tRNA from 9 species